ensembl:snRNA U2 U2 spliceosomal RNA
AUCAAUUCUUGGCCUUUUGGCUGAGAUAAAGUGUUCUAUCACUUUAGUAUCUGAGAAGUCCUCUAUCCAAGAUCUAUGUAUUAAAUGGAUAGUUGGAGCAAGGAGAUGGAAAAGGAACUUGCUCCAUCCAUUCCAUGUUUUCAAUCUGGUACUGAUAUACCUCCCGGAAUGAUACACCUCUG